rnacentral:rRNA from 1 species
UACAGAGGUGGCAAGCGUUGUUCGGAAUUACUGGGCGUAAAGGGCGAGUAGGUGGCCAUCUAAGUCAGACGUGAAAUCCCCCGGCUUAACCUGGGAACUGCGUCUGAUACUGGACGGCUAGAGUCCGGGAGGGGCGAGUGGAAUUCCUGGUGUAGCGGUGAAAUGCGCAGAUAUCAGGAGGAACACCAAUGGCGAAGGCAGCUCGCUGGAACGGUACUGACGCUGAGGCGCGAAAGCGUGGGGAGCAAACAGG